AACGAACGCUGGCGGCAUGCCUAACACAUGCAAGUCGAACGAGACCUUCGGGUCUAGUGGCGCACGGGUGCGUAACGCGUGGGAAUCUGCCCUUGGGUUCGGAAUAACAGUUGGAAACGACUGCUAAUACCGGAUGAUGACGUAAGUCCAAAGAUUUAUCGCCCAAGGAUGAGCCCGCGUAGGAUUAGCUAGUUGGUGAGGUAAAGGCUCACCAAGGCGACGAUCCUUAGCUGGUCUGAGAGGAUGAUCAGCCACACUGGGACUGAGACACGGCCCAGACUCCUACGGGGGGCAGCAGUGGGGAAUAUUGGACAAUGGGCGAAAGCCUGAUCCAGCAAUGCCGCGUGAGUGAUGAAGGCCUUAGGGUUGUAAAGCUCUUUUACCCGGGAUGAUAAUGACAGUACCGGGAGAAUAAGCUCCGGCUAACUCCGUG
rnacentral:rRNA from 1 species